rnacentral:rRNA from 1 species
AGUGAACGCUGGCGGUAGGCCUAACACAUGCAAGUCGAACGGCAGCACAGUAAGAGCUUGCUCUUACGGGUGGCGAGUGGCGGACGGGUGAGGAAUACAUCGGAAUCUACUUUUUCGUGGGGGAUAACGUAGGGAAACUUACGCUAAUACCGCAUACGACCUACGGGUGAAAGCAGGGGAUCUUCGGACCUUGCGCGAUUGAAUGAGCCGAUGUCGGAUUAGCUAGUUGGCGGGGUAAAGGCCCACCAAGGCGACGAUCCGUAGCUGGUCUGAGAGGAUGAUCAGCCACACUGGAACUGAGACACGGUCCAGACUCCUACGGGAGGCAGCAGUGGGGAAUAUUGGACAAUGGGCGCAAGCCUGAUCCAGCCAUGCCGCGUGGGUGAAGAAGGCCUUCGGGUCGUAAAGCUCUUUUGUUAGGAAAGAAAAGCAGCAGGAUAAACCCCGGCCGUGCUGACGGUACCCAAAGAGUAAGCACCGGCUAACUACGUG